rnacentral:rRNA from 1 species
AGAGCGAACGCUGGCGGCAGGCUUAACACAUGCAAGUCGAGCGGGCGUAGCAAUACGUCAGCGGCAGACGGGUGAGUAACGCGUGGGAACGUACCUUUUGGUUCGGAACAACACAGGGAAACUUGUGCUAAUACCGGAUAAGCCCUUACGGGGAAAGAUUUAUCGCCGAAAGAUCGGCCCGCGUCUGAUUAGCUAGUUGGUGAGGUAACGGCUCACCAAGGCGACGAUCAGUAGCUGGUCUGAGAGGAUGAUCAGCCACAUUGGGACUGAGACACGGCCCAAACUCCUACGGGAGGCAGCAGUGGGGAAUAUUGGACAAUGGGCGCAAGCCUGAUCCAGCCAUGCCGCGUGAGUGAUGAAGGCCCUAGGGUUGUAAAGCUCUUUUGUGCGGGAAGAUAAUGACGGUACCGCAAGAAUAAGCCCCGGCUAACUUCGCGCCAGCAGCCGC